GUGUCAGCCGCCGCGGUAAGGCGUAGGGGGCGAGCGUUGUCCGGAAUUACUGGGCGUAAAGAGCACGUAGGCGGGAACUUAAGUCAGGUGUGAAAGACCGGGGCUCAACUCCGGGGUUGCACUUGAAACUGGGUUUCUUGAGGGCAGGAGAGGAAAGCAGAAUUCCUGGUGUAGCGGUGAAAUGCGUAGAAAUCAGGAGGAAUACCAGUGGCGAAGGCGGCUUUCUGGACU
rnacentral:rRNA from 1 species